AGUGCUCCCCGCGCUGUUGCGCGUCACACCCGGCUCUCAGACACUGGCUCCGGGACACCGGCUACGCAACCACCCCCCUCCCGGUGACUGCUGGCCCAGGAACCCACGUUCGGGCAGCCCACACACCACCCGGCGUCCAGGACAUCCUCACCGGAAGUUGAUUUCUACCUAGGCCCGCCCAGGCCUGCGCGCGGCGCUCCAGGCAUCCGCGGGCGCAUCACAUGACCCCCCAAGAGGAGGCCAGCUGAGCCUCAUCUGAAGAGAGACCUGACCUGUGAAGUGGAUUGACCUGAUAUACACUGGCCUGACCAUCCUCAAAAACUACAUCAUGUCUUUAUCUUUUGUCCUGAGCCAAAACAAACUAUUCAACAGAUAUUCCUCCUAACAGAGAUUCAGCUGGCUAGGCCACAAGAAGAACCUCCUAGUUGAGUGAUUCUCAGAACUCGAAUCUACCACGAGAAGAGCCUUUGCCUCUUACAAACAACCAAAAUGUGAGAACUGAAUAAAGCACCCGGCACUAUGACAUGCUCAAGAAAUGUUUGACGUGAUGUCUGGACCUAUCGGCUUAGCGGAACUCUCAAGUUCCUGAACGUGCCCAAGCUGAAAGCUUCUCUAAACCACUGGAUUUUAAAGAUCUUCAGCGCUAGGACUGUAGCACUUGUAAUCAACUCUCUCAUAGCAGUUCGUUCAUAUUCCACUAAAAACAGUUGUUUUUUAGCUGUUCCACAUCCUUACAGCAAAGCUGUCAGUCAACAUCUUUUCCUGAAGGGAA
rnacentral:lncRNA from 1 species